rnacentral:piRNA from 1 species
UGAUAGGUUAGCUUUCCUUCCGUGAAUGC